rnacentral:rRNA from 1 species
AGAAUCAACGCUGGCGGCGUGCCUAACACAUGCAAGUCGAACGAGAAAGUGGAGCAAUCCAUGAGUAAAGUGGCGCACGGGUGAGUAACACGUGACUAACCUACCCUUGAGUGGGGGAUAACCUAGGGAAACCUGGGCUAAUACCGCAUAAUACCGAGAGGUCAAAGGAGCAAUUCGCUUAAGGAGGGGUCGCGGCCGAUUAGUUAGUUGGCGGGGUAAUGGCCCACCAAGACUAUGAUCGGUA